rnacentral:rRNA from 1 species
GACAGAGGGUGCAAACGUUGUUCGGAAUUACUGGGCGUAAAGCGCGUGUAGGCGGCCCUGCAAGUCGGAUGUGAAAUCCCACGGCUCAACCGUGGAAGUGCAUUCGAAACUGCAGGGCUAGAGUCCUGGAGAGGAAGGUGGAAUGCUUGGUGUAGAGGUGAAAUUCGUAGAUAUCAAGCGGAACACCGGUGGCGGAGGCGGCCUUCUGGACAGUGACUGACGCUGAGACGCGAAAGCGUGGGGAGCAAACAGGG